rfam:Ciona savignyi cont_33052, whole genome shotgun sequence.
GGUAGCGUGGCCGAGCGGUCUAAGGCGCUGGUUUUAGGCACCAGUCAUUUCGAUGGCUUGGGUUCGAAUCCCACCGCUGCCA